rnacentral:rRNA from 1 species
AGAGUUUGAUCCUGGCUCAGGAUGAACGCUAGCGGCAGGCCUAAUACAUGCAAGUCGGACGGGAUUCAGGUGCUUGCACCUGAUGAGAGUGGCGCACGGGUGCGUAACACGUAUGUAACCUACCUUUGUCAGGGGGAUAGCCUCUCGAAAGAGAGAUUAAGCCCGCAUAAAAUCACACUCUGGCAUCGGAGAAUGAUCAA